rnacentral:rRNA from 1 species
GACGAACGCUGGCGGCGUGCUUCAUACAUGCAAGUCGAACGAGAAGCUGACUUCGGUCAGUGGAAAGUGGCGGACGGGUGAGUAAUAUGUAUGAAAUCUUCCUUUAGGAGGGGGACUACAGAGGGAAACUUCUGCUAAUACCCCCUAUGAGCGUAGCUGAGAUGCUAUUCUUGAAAACUCCGGUGCCUAAAGAUGAGCCGGCAUCUGAUUAGCUAGUUGGUAGUGUAAUGGACUCCCAAGGCGACGAUCAGUAGCUGGUUUGAGAGGAUGAUCAGCCACAAUGGAACGGAGACACGGCUCAGACUUCUACGGGAGGCAGCAGAAGGGAAUUUUGCGCAAUGGGCGAAAGCCUGACGCAGCAUCGGAGCGUGAACGAUUAAGCCCUGGGGGGUGUAAAGGUCUGUCAGUGGGGACGAAACUUGACGGUACCCACAGAGGAAGCACCGGCUAACUCCGUG